AGACACGACAGAGGACAUCUGGACAUAUAACACCAGUGAGAGUAAGAACGUUAUAUGUAAAGUGGACAAAAGACAGUUUGUGACCGCGGCAUCACUCUUCUUCAAUCGGCAAUACAUAAUAAGGGCGGAAAAGUUUUAUACGUGCUUCAGCGCAAAGUUUGACACCCAGCGAAAAGAAUGUAUGGUUGUCGCUAAUCAAGGCAGUGAGCACACGGAGUGUAUGGUUUAUUACCAUAAACGUUUUGGCUGCGCAGUUAUUAAUGUGAAUAUCAAUAAAGGUGCAGCCCCCUAUUACGACCUUCGGAUUCAGGGUUCCUUCAUAAGGGCAGGCCCAAGCUCCAAAUGCGUCCUAAUGUUUGCGAGGCACACGAUACAUGGGCGGAUUGUAUAUCAUCCGCAAUGCCCGGCAAUACUCAGACGCAACCGAAUGCCAUCUUUUUGCACGACGCCGACGUGUCAUCAUUCCACGCGGUCAUGAAUCAGCAAUAUAUCUUGACGAG